GUCCGGCGCUCCAGAUCGGCUCGGCUCUGCCCCCCAUGCGCCCAGCGGCCCACCCCAUCUGACCGUCUCUCCUCGCCCCCGCACCAGUGACUCGACUUCCUCCGCGGACCGCCACCGCCACCUCACCCACCACCUCGCCGGAGAUCACGAGAGGAGCCUCGCCGCUGCCCCCCCGCCCGCCAUGGGGGAUGCCGCCUCCGGCCGCGGCCACGUUGUCUACCCUCCCCGCUCCGCCGAGGACAUCUUCAAGGACUACCGCGCCCGCCGCUCCGCCAUCCUCCGGGCCCUCACCCACGACGUCGAGGACUUCUACGCGCAGUGCGAUCCAGAGAAGGAGAACCUCUGCCUGUACGGGUACGCGAACGAGGCCUGGGAGGUGGCGCUGCCGGCGGAGGAGGUGCCAACGGAGCUGCCGGAGCCCGCGCUGGGGAUCAACUUCGCGCGCGACGGCAUGAAUCGCCGCGACUGGCUCGCGCUCGUCGCCGUCCACUCCGACUCAUGGCUCCUCUCCGUCGCUUUCUACUACGCUGCUCGGCUCAAUCGGAAUGACCGUGGUCCAAGACUGCCAGUGUGGACUUGUGCUAGUUGAAGGCUGAGUUCAAUGCUUAUCUAAUACCAACUUUCAGAAGGUGCUUUACACAGGGAAAAAUAUUAUUUUGUGGAAGCUGCGAAUCUGACUAGUUUUCCACUUGUGCAUCAAUAUUUUGUCUGAGCUGCUUCAAACAUUUUAUGAGAUCUUCGGUUAAUUAGUGGUGUGUCCUGGUUCCUGGAUACGUCCUACUCAGAUUACCAUUCUACUGUAAGGAAAUACCUGACUUUUUGUUAAUGAAAGGCGUUUCAUGCUUAGAACCUGACCAUCUUGUUAUGGAUCUGGAGAAUCAGGACUUUUUGUGCCAAUUGUAGAUACUGAAUUGCACUUGUGCUGAUAUUCUCUGUUAUCUUUCCAACACCUCUUUUCCUGCACACCGCCCAAUUCGUGAAAGCAAAUCUCCGUCUUAUUCUGAGAAGCCUCUUGAGUCUACAUCUUGUAUAGGAACUUGAUUUUUCUAUUUUUUCUAGAUAUUUUGAGGUCAAAACAGUGAUUAGCCCCCAGUUUCAUUACACCACUUUUGCAGAUUAUUUUCUUUUUUUGCAAAGGAAUCCAACAAAUAAAGUGUGAUUUCAUGAAAGCUGUGUUUCAUCAAUACAAACUAAAAUAGAAUAGACUUUUCCAUGAUCAUGCUAAAAUAUGUGCAAUGCUGAUGUGCUAUGAAGCCUAGGGUGGAGUUGAUUAUAUUUAUUGAAAAGGAAAGCUUAUGUGACUCGAGAGGAUUGUGGAAAAAUAACACAAGGAGCAUAUAUCUGACAUCCAUGACCUGUCAUCUUAUAUAACUUCUGUAUACUUGAUUUUUAUGGAUAUAGAGUUCUCUCAGUGCUGCAGUUGUGGUUUCUAUAUUAAUUUCCAUCAGAAAUGAUGUGUAUUCAUGCACAUGGCCGUGGUAUUUUAGAGCCUGCAAUAUGCAGUUCUUUAUUUUCCAUGCAUUACUCAUAUGAAUACUGUAAUCUGUGCAAAUACUGUACCAGCACCUUGGAGGAUAGCUGUCUUAAAUCAAAGUGAACCCACACUAGCUUGGAUUUUUUUUCCUGUUGCACCAAGAGUAGCGCCUCAGAUUAGGCCUUCUGAUGCCUUAUGUGGAUUCACACUGUCAAUAAUCUGUUUUUCCCCCAAUUCUUAUGUGUCAAUUCUUUCAAUGAUGUUAAUAUUAGCACUGUGAUUUUAGUAGUAUAAACAUAGCCUUUGAAUAAUUUUAUGUAAAUUUGAAAGGUUUGAUAUGCUGCAUUGCCAUUAGUUUGUUUCAUUCUCUCUAUUCGUAAGAUGGCCAAUGUUGCUGAUAUCUAACUGUCUUCACUGUCAUCCAAUAGGAAACGUUUAUUUGGUAUGAUUAACGAAUUGCAAACUGUUUUUGAAGUUGUCUCCGGUGCGAGACAACAACAAUCUAAGGAGAGGUCCAGUAUGGACAAUGGUGGGAGGGCCAAACCCUCAGUAAAGAUAGAAAAUAACGGAAAAGCAUCAGAAGAUGCAUACGGAGAAGAUGACAGUGAUCACGGUGAAACUCUAUGUGGUACCUGUGGUGGUAUAUACAGCGCAGAUGAGUUCUGGAUUGGGUGCGACAUCUGCGAGAGGUGGUAUCACGGCAAGUGCGUCAAGAUAACUCCCGCCAAGGCAGAAAGCAUAAAACAUUACAAGUGCCCGAGCUGCAGCUCCAAGAGGGCUAGGCAGUAGCAAAGCUUAUGGAUGCUUCAGAGUGCUGGAUGUAUGCUGCAGUGGUGGCAGUGCAAAGUUUGCCUGCAGGAGAAGCUCCAUUUACAAGAUUAGCUAUCUUCGUUGUACCUUAUGCUUACUUUACCUAUGAUGAAGCUAAUGUGAGGAACGAUGAGACAUUUGACAACCAGAGGCACCUGAGUUGAAUGCCCCUAGAUAAAUGGGGUGAAAGAAGAGGAAACCUGCGUGCUGUAUUGAAUAGAGCUUGUUUAUGUCACCUUUACGGGUCGUUCUUUUUUAUGAGGAAUGGCAGCAGCCUUGAAUUGUAAUACUGCGUAGACUCGAUGUGUUGGCAGAAUUCCUGGCUUAUGCUUGUAACCCACUUACAUUUCUAUUCUCUGCUGCAUAAGGACCUACUGCUGCAACUA